GACGAACGCUGGCGGCGUGCUUAACACAUGCAAGUCGAGCGGAAGGGCCCUUUGGGGUACUCGAGCGGCGAACGGGUGAGUAACACGUGAGUAACCUGCCCUGGACUUUGGGAUAACCCUCGGAAACGGGGGCUAAUACUGGAUAUGACUUCUUGCCGCAUGGUGGGGGGUGGAAAGGUUUUCUGGUCUGGGAUGGGCUCGCGGCCUAUCAGCUUGUUGGUGGGGUGAUGGCCUACCAAGGCGACGACGGGUAGCCGGCCUGAGAGGGCGACCGGCCACACUGGGACUGAGACACGGCCCAGACUCCUACGGGAGGCAGCAGUGGGGAAUUUUGCACAAUGGGCGGAAGCCUGAUGCAGCGACGCCGCGUGGGGGAUGACGGCCUUCGGGUUGUAAACCUCUUUCGACCCUGACGAAGCGUGAGUGACGGUAGGGGGAGAAGAAGCACCGGCCAACUACGUGCCAGCAGCCGCCGCGGUAA
rnacentral:rRNA from 1 species